rnacentral:rRNA from 1 species
AGCAGCCGCGGUAAUUCCAGCUCCAAUAGCGUAUAUUAAAGUUGUUGCAGUUAAAAAGCUCGUAGUUGAAUUUCGGGGUCAAUAAGUUGGUCAUGCCAAUGGUAUGCACUGGCUUUAUUGAUUCCUACCUCUUGACGAACUGUGAUGCCAUUAAUUUGGUGUUGCAAGGAAUCAGGACUGUUACCUUGAAAAAAUUAGAGUGUUUAAAGCAAGCUUACGCUUGAACACAUUAGCAUGGAAUAAUGAAAUAGGACGUUUGAUCCUAUUUUGUUGGUUUUUAGGAUCGACGUAAUGAUUAAUAGGGAUAGUUGGGGGCAUUAGUAUUCAAUUGUCAGAGGUGAAAUUCUUGAAUUUAUUGAAGACUAACUACUGCGAAAGCAUUUGCCAAGGAUGUUUUCAUUAAUCAAGAACGAAAGUUAGGGGAUCGAAGACGAAUCAGAUACCGUCGUAGUCUUUAACCAUAAACUAUGCCGACUGGGGAUCGGAUGAUGUUAAUUUUUUAAUGUACUCA